ACCUGCGGAGGGAUCAUUGCUGGAACUGUGUCCUCCCCGGACACAACCCCGCAUACCCUUUGUGAACUUAUACCAUUUAUAUCGUUGCCUCGGCGUUGAGCUGGGAGUGCUCUUCUGCGCUCCCCCUAACCGCGCAAGCGGUUCGGAGCCAGCCCGCCGGCGGCCCACCAAACUCUUGUUUUUAGAACCUGUCUCUUCUGAGUUUUUUAUAAACAAAUGAAUCAAAACUUUCAACAACGGAUCUCUUGGUUCUGGCAUCGAUGAAGAACGCAGCGAAAUGCGAUAAGUAAUGUGAAUUGCAGAAUUCAGUGAAUCAUCGAAUCUUUGAACGCACAUUGCGCCCGCUGGAAUUCCAGCGGGCAUGCCUGUUCGAGCGUCAUUUCAACCCUCAAGCCUGGCUUGGUGUUGGAGCACUACCCGUUAUACGGUAGGCUCUGAAAUUCAGUGGCGGGCUCGCUAAGACUCUGAGCGUAGUAGUUUACCACCUCGCUUUGGAAGGAUUAGCGGUGCUCUGGCCGUAAAACCCCCCAACUUCUGAAUUUUGACCUCGGAUCAGGUAGGAAUACCCGCUGAACUUAAGCAUAUCAAUAAGCCGGGAGGAA
rnacentral:rRNA from 1 species